UACGUAGGGGGCUAGCGUUGUCCGGAAUCAUUGGGCGUAAAGCGCGCGUAGGCGGUCAGGUAAGUCCGGUGUGAAAGUCAAAGGCUCAACCUUUGAAUGCCGCUGGAUACUGCCUGACUUGAGUCCGGAAGGGGCGAGUGGAAUUCCUGGUGUAGCGGUGAAAUGCGCAGAUAUCAGGAGGAACACCAAUGGCGAAGGCAGCUCGCUGGAACGGUACUGACGCUGAGGCGCGAAAGCUAGGGGAGCAAACGGG
rnacentral:rRNA from 1 species